AAGGGAGACCUAAUUCGGGUAUAAGACGAAAAAAUAGUAGUCGAAACCAAGAAUCAAUCCCAAAAGGUCGGAGCGAGGCGAAAUUGGCUUUCAAACUAGGUUCUGGGUUCAAACAAGACCUGAAUCAGGAACAAGGGCUAUUAGCUCAGGUGGUUAGAGCGCACCCCUGAUAAGGGUGAGGUCCCUGGUUCGAGUCCAGGAUGGCCCACCUGCACAGGUGGCAAAAACAAAGAAAAGAAGCUCCGAAUCAGCACCUUAUCUUACUUAUAUAUAGUAAGAGAGAAUGCUGGCUCUGAGUUCAGAGUCCAGAGGAACCUUGAAAACUGCAUAGAGCUAGGUGAAAAAGCCAAAAAAGAAGACCGCAG
rnacentral:tRNA from 1 species